GACUUGGUACUUUAAUAUAAAAGACCUGGUUUGCAUCCAGGCAAUAAGUUUUUAAACUUUCAGGUCA
rnacentral:tRNA from 1 species